UACGGGGGGAGCAAGCGUUGUUCGGAUUUACUGGGCGUAAAGGGCGCGUAGGCGGUCGUGACAAGUCACUUGUGAAAUCUCCGGGCUUAACUCGGAACGGUCAAGUGAUACUGUCGGACUAGAGUACAGAAGGGGCAACUGGAAUUCUCGGUGUAGCGGUGAAAUGCGUAGAUAUCGAGAGGAACACCUGCGGCGAAGGCGGGUUGCUGGGACGGUACUGACGCUAAGGCGCGAAAGCGUGGGGAGCGAACAGG
rnacentral:rRNA from 1 species